CAUAUCAAUAAGCGGAGGAAAAGAAACUAACAAGGAUUCCCCUAGUAACGGCGAGUGAACCGGGAAGAGCUCAAAUUUGAAAUCUGGCGUGCUCAGUGCGUCCGAGUUGUAAUCUAUAGAGUCGUUUUCCGUGCCGGACUGUGUCCAAGUCCCUUGGAACAGGGUAUCAAAGAGGGUGAUAAUCCCGUACUUGACACAAUGACCGGUGCUCUGUGAUACGUCUUCUACGAGUCGAGUUGUUUGGGAAUGCAGCUCAAAAUGGGUGGUGAGUUCCAUCUAAAGCUAAAUAUUGGCGAGAGACCGAUAGCGAACAAGUACCGUGAGGGAAAGAUGAAAAGCACUUUGGAAAGAGAGUUAAACAGUACGUGAAAUUGUUAAAAGGGAAACGAUUGAAGUCAGUCGUGACUGAGAGGCUCAGCCGGUUCUGCCGGUGUAUUCCCCUCAGUCGGGUCAACAUCAGUUUUGUUCGGUGGAUAAGGGCAGUUGGAAGGUGGCACCCUCGGGUGUGUUAUAGCCAGCUGUCGCAUACAUCGGAUGAGACUGAGGAAUGCAGCUCGCCUUUAUGGCCGGGGUUCGCCCACGUUCGAGCUUAGGAUGUUGACAUAAUGGCUUUAAACGACCCGUCUUGAAACACGG
rnacentral:rRNA from 1 species